rnacentral:lncRNA from 1 species
UUUUCCUUAUCAUCCAGCUCACCCACUCUCAUCUCACAAAGAAUUUUUAGCGUUUCUUUGUUGAAAUUUUUUUUUCUUUGUGUUUGUAAAUAUGAUUUUGGCUUUCACUUCAUCUGUAAUCCAUGGUUCUUUGUCCUCUUCUUCUUAUGAAUAUCUCAAAGGUAACCCUUUAUUUCAUUUUUUUACCUUUUGUAGAUUCAAUCUUUAUGUGAUAAUUUCAAGAUUUUUAGCACCCUGGUUUCAAUUUUCUUAUGUGCUUGUAUCAGUAUAUGUAGUUAUUUUUUCUCUAUUAUUUCGUGAAUUUUUUGUCUUCUUAUGAACAAUUUAAAAAUUUUCAUUACUAGUCUCUUCCAAAGUUUUAAUAUUUCUCCUAAAUUUGAUUGAUAUAUUUGGAAAAUUUUAGCAUUUAGGCUCAUUUUUUUUGUUUCAAAUUUUUGGUGUGUUUUUAUCCUUGUCUUCUGACUUAUCAACACAAAUGUACAUGUUGAUUUUCCAUUUAAGAGUUUCAAUACUUAUCCUGAGUUUGAUUGGCGAAAUUUCAUAAUAUGGUUUGAAUAUCGGGUUAUUUGAUUUUGGAUUUUAUCUAUUGUUUAAUUAAUUUGUUAUUGUGUGUGUGCAGUGUACCAAUUGGAGAAGAAUAAAGGGGGAGAUCAGAUGAG